AUUGAACGCUGGCGGCAUGCCUUACACAUGCAAGUCGAACGGCAGCACGGGGGCAACCCUGGUGGCGAGUGGCGAACGGGUGAGUAAUGCAUCGGAACGUGCCCAGUAGUGGGGGAUAACUAGUCGAAAGAUUAGCUACUACCGCAUACGACCUAUGGGUGAAAGCGGGGGAUCGCAAGACCUCGCGCUAUUGGAGCGGCCGAUGUCUGAUUAGCUAGUUGGCGGGGUAAAAGCCCACCAAGGCUUCGAUCAGUAGCUGGUCUGAGAGGACGACCAGCCACACUGGGACUGAGACACGGCCCAGACUCCUACGGGAGGCAGCAGUGGGGAAUUUGGACAAUGGGCGCAAGCCUGAUCCAGCCAUGCCGCGUGCGGGAAGAA
rnacentral:rRNA from 1 species